rnacentral:rRNA from 1 species
AGACGGUACCUUAGGAGGAAGCCCCGGCUAACUACGUGCCAGCAGCCGCGGUAAUACGUAGGGGGCGAGCGUUGUCCGGAAUGAUUGGGCGUAAAGGGCGCGUAGGCGGCCCGGUAAGUCUGGAGUGAAAGUCCUGCUUUUAAGGUGGGAAUUGCUUUGGAUACUGUCGGCUUGAGUGCAGGAGAGGUUAGUGGAAUUCCCAGUGUAGCGGUGAAAUGCGUAGAGAUUGGGAGGAACACCAGUGGCGAAGGCGACUAACUGGACUGUAACUGACGCUGAGGCGCGAAAGUGUGGGGAGCAAACAGGAUUAGAUACCCUG